GGCUCGGUAGCUUAGUUGGAAAAGCACUUGUCUAGCGAACAAGGGUCGUGAGUUCAAAUCUCAUCUGAGCUG
rfam:Aedes albopictus isolate Foshan contig87088, whole genome shotgun sequence.